AAGUGAAAAGUGAAAGUGAAGUCGCUCAGUCAAGUCCGAGUCUUAGCGACCCCAUGGACUGGAGCCUACCAGGCUCCUCUGUCCAUGGGAUUUCCCAGGCAAGAGUCCUGGAGUGGGGUGCCAUUGCCUUCUCUGAGGAAUGAAAUAGCACUAGCUUAAACUGGUUUUGCCUCUUUAAAUGGGUUGUUGAUUAAUCAAAUUGAAAUAGCACCAGCUUAAACUGGUUUUGCCACCACUCAUAGGUUGUUGAUUAAUCAAACCUUGAGUCAUUUUACACAGACAGCAUUCUGUAUGUGUGAGAUGGAAAUUCAUGUUUCCAGGAUGACAGCGGAACCAAGAAUCUUUAGUCUACAGAACUUAAAGACUAGAAAUGUUGUCACUGGAGUCUUUUGCAAAACGAGAAGUCCUUUAAUCGGGGAAAAUCUGGCUUCCAGGAGCCCAAGUAGCUCAGAUGCUCUAAUUGAAGACUAGCCAAUUAGCUUCCGAUUUUGAAAUUCCCCUAACCAUUAAAUAUCUCCUGGAAGCCUGGAUCAGGGAGACAGAUCUGUGAGCCUUGCUCCUAUUCUUUAUGCUGGUUGGCCUUGCUGCAAACCUCUUUGUUUUCUCAAAAGCCAGUCCCAUAGUCUCGGCUUCUCUGUGUGUGAUCCGGCAGUGAGCCUUUGCUUGGUAACCGGAGCAUGGCAAUGGGCAAAUUAAGCCCCAGCUAUGGAACAGAGAUCAGAAGAGGACUGGCCUUGGAGCUGCUCCUCUCCGUGGAAAUGUUUACAGCCGGUGAAACUGGGGGUGCUGAGGGCAUAGCAGUGGAGAGUGGCGACCCUACCCCUCUCCAUCAGCUGAUUCCGCUCCUGCCUUGGCUCCUAGUGGCAUCAGAGGUCACCAGGGAAAUGGAUAGAUCUGAUGUGCUUUGGUGGAAAGGGAGCUGGACUCUCAGUGAUGAAGUUUAGUGCUUUGAGUUUUAUGUGUGAACCCUGCCACUCCUUUGCUAUGUGAGAGACUGAAGAAUUGGUGAGAAAAAAAAAUAAGAAAGAAAUAAGGGUACAUUCUCAGCAGCACUGAGUCCUGGGAAAAGAAUGAACGCAUAGAUUCUGGCGCUCAGGCCUGCAUCACUCCCUGUGGCUUCUCACGGCCGGUAGCCCACGGAUGGUCAGUUCUCUACCUUUGUUUUCCCUUUGGGAGAAGAUGUACAUGGUAUUCACAGUGAACUUCUCAGACUCUCAAAGACAACCAACAACACCUGCAGAAAAAUGUGCAUCCUUCCUCAAGAAACCAUCUCUCCCUGCAGUGAAAC
ensembl:lncRNA